rnacentral:rRNA from 1 species
AACGAACGCUGGCGGCAUGCCUAACACAUGCAAGUCGAACGAGACCUUCGGGUCUAGUGGCGCACGGGUGCGUAACGCGUGGGAACCUGCCCUUAGGUUCGGAAUAACUCCCCGAAAGGGGUGCUAAUACCGGAUAAUGUCUUCGGACCAAAGAUUUAUCGCCUUUGGAUGGGCCCGCGUUGGAUUAGCUAGUUGGUAGGGUAAAAGCCUACCAAGGCGACGAUCCAUAGCUGGUCUGAGAGGAUGAUCAGCCACACUGGGACUGAGACACGGCCCAGACUCCUACGGGAGGCAGCAGUAAAGAAUAUUGGACAAUGGGCGAAAGCCUGAUCAAGCAAUGCCGCGUGAGUGAUGAAGGCCUUAGGGUUGUAAAGCUCUUUUACCCGGGAUGAUAAUGACAGUACCGGGAGAAUAAGCUCCGGCUAACUCCGUG